CCUACGGGAGGCAGCAGUCGAGAAUCAUUCACAAUGGGGGAAACCCUGAUGGUGCGACGCCGCGUGGGGGAAUGAAGGUCUUCGGAUUGUAAACCCCUGUCAUGUGGGAGCAAAUUAAAAAGAUCGUACCACAAGAGGCAGAGACGGCUAACUCUGUGCCAGCAGCCGCGGUAAUACAGAGGUCUCAAGCGUUGUUCGGAAUCACUGGGCGUAAGGCGUGCGUAGGCUGUUUCGUAAGUCGUGUGUGAAAGGCGCGGGCUCAACCCGCGGACGGCACAUGAUACUGCGAGACUAGAGUAAUGGAGGGGGAACCGGAAUUCUCGGUGUAGCAGUGAAAUGCGUAGAUAUCGAGAGGAACACUCGUGGCGAAGGCGGGUUCCUGGACAGUAACUGACGCUGAGGCACGAAGGCCAGGGGAGCGAAAGGGAUUAGAUACCCGAGUAGUC
rnacentral:rRNA from 1 species